rnacentral:lncRNA from 1 species
UUAAUCACAGGGAAAACUCCAUUCAACAGAGGGAAUUAUAUUAUAAAAAAACAUGCAAGCACACACAAAGAAGGACAUGGCAAUACUAAGAGCAAAAUAGAGAAUCACACAGAAAACAACAGCACACACAGCGAGAAUUACACAGAAAAAUAAGUGUCCAGAAGAGAAAAUACAGAGAAAAACCCGGCAACAAUUACAUAGAAAACAACACCGCCAUUGUUGAAAACCUUUUCCUCCAUCCGAGCCACCACUUCACCACCAAAAUCCAACACCAUUGUUGUUGAAACUCAAACCCAACCACAAUUCCAGCUACAACCUAAUUCCUUGCAAACCAACUUCCAGAAAGCAAAAAUCUAAAGUUUCAACAAGCCAUUAACAGUACAUUUCCAACAAUCUUAACCACCUGAAAAUUUUCAGACUCCACAAUAAACAACAGCAGCAGCAGAACCAAAAAGCACGCAUCAAAACAUCAAAACAGACGCUACAAUCGCCCUCCACAUAACCCAAUUCUGCCAUCAUCAUCAACCUCUUGCCAAGUAUCCAUUAACUGUCAGUAGACCAAGAAAAAAAAAGCAAAACCAAGUCAGAAACAAAAGAACUAGAAACAGAAAGAAAAAAGGAGAAAAGAAAGGACGUCUUCCUGGGUUUAGUUUGGUUCUCUUCAAGACGUUUUUGGAGCUUCAAAAUUUGUAACGAGGCAGCCAAGGGUCUGAGGAACAACAUACCUUGGAGCUUCAAGUCACUGGAGUGCGAUUUUGGAAAUCCCGUACCUAUAUCCAAGACCAGGGAACCUAGACAAACUCGUGGAGACCUUUUGAAAAUCUUUUGGUUUUCGGCAGACGGUCGACACACGGCGGUGUGUGGCGCUGCCGGGAUCUGGAAACCCUUGAAGUUUCCGGCCUGAGUUUAUCCUGCUAAUGAGAGAUUAGAGAAGCAGAGCUAAAUUUUUAGUGAGAGAGAAGAAACUGAAAAAUGAAGAGAACGGCUUUGAAAAAG